CUAUGAUUGGCGCGCGGCAGGUGCGUGCGGGGCCCGCCCUGGAGUCCGCAGUGGAGGCGAUUCUUACCCCGGCAAGUUUGGAUCGGGGAGAUUCCGGGGAAUAAAGAGUUGAAUCCAGCCAGUUGUGAUGGGAUGCCCCUCCGCUACAGAGGUCCUUCAGGAGCUGGUGAAGGUGUGGCAUAAAGGGCUUUUGUUCUCUAAAGAGGAUGGCAGGAUUCUCAGCUGAUUGAGGGACUGUGUGUGUAGGGGAGGGACAGACAAUAGCUCUGAACCACUAAAUUCAAAAAGAAAUGCCAGUCAGGUGUCAGCAACGAGGCCUCUUUAACAAGACGGUUUCCCAUGGCACAGCCAUUUGGUGAAGACUCCCUGACAUGAAGGUGAAGGUCGUGUGGAAGACCCUGCCCACCACUAAGAGCCCUAGUGCCUCCGGCCGAUUCUGUCCAGCUUUCCUUCCUCUGAGGCUGUAUUUCAGUGCCAGGGGGAGGUCAUCAAGGUCAGCCCACCUUCCACCCCAAAAAUAUGACCAACGCAGGACUCCAUGAUUAUCACUGCAUUAGCCACACCAGCAUCCCUGAGAAAGAUCGUCCUCCACACAAGGAGACAAAGCUCAAGAAAGCGAAAGGACCUGAUCUGGGGCCAUAUUAGAGUCUUCGCUUUUGGGACGCCGGCGAUUCUACUGUUUCUGGCAUUCAGCCUUCCCUUCCAGCAGCCUGAAACCUCAAAGAAUGGUUCUAGAAAAAUUCCUACAGGGAAGGCUGGGACCUUGGACAGUCACUUCUACUGGACUUUCAGAGCCAUGGGACUGAAGAUAACAUGCCUCAAGUGUCACAUUUAUGUAAGUUCCAGCCAAGAACACACAUACCGGCCUUCCUGAAUAAAAUAAAGGAAGGUUUCAUGUAAAGCACUUUCCUCGGCCCUGUUUUCAUUUCAGUCUAAAUCAUGACUGAUGAUGGCCAGGCUCUUGAUCUUUGAUACCUCCUACUUGAAGAGAUAAAUGACUAUAGCAGUUACCCCAGAAAUGAGGGACCCUGAACUCCAUCCCCGGCUCGCUUCUAGAUUCACGUGGGACAGAGCGGGAAGCUAACCCUCCCUGGGCUCAAUCAUGUCCCUCACUCCUGGAAAGCUCUCUGGGGCCUCGGCCUACCACUCCUUCAGGUUCCCCUUCUUCACAGCUCGGCUAUGAUCAGCUUGAGUUUUAAGUGCAGAUCACCCAUCCUUAACUGGAUAAAAAAACUUAAGGGCAAGUGUCUGUCUUGCAAGAACCAUGUCAAACAGUCUACUCUGUGAUGGUGAAGACAGAGACAUCAUCACGCCCCCUUCCUGGAGACAGAACUCACUCCCUGUAUUUUAAUACCCUCCUUUAGCAUUGUUAGGAACCAUCCUUGGACUUGCAAAGAGCACAAGAAUUUUCUGUGAGCUGAUGGAAAGUGAAGGGAGAAGGAAAUGUGUGGUGGUGCUGUUACCUGAGCCAGACAUGCCCACCCCACACAGCCCCGUUCCCGCCCAAGGAGCUCCCACUCUCCCAAGCAGCAGGGCAGGACGGCACACGGGACUGGGGUGGCAGGAGCGGUGACCUGGAGAGGGGGAACGUGCCUCAAACCCAGCAGGGUUGCUGGUGCUGGAAGGUCAAGCUGAGAGAAGGAAAUAAAGAGGGGGGGGGCCAGUUCAAGGGCCCGGAAAGGAGGCAAAGCUGGGGAAGAGCAGAAUCCAUAGUAUUUCCAAAGGGCAGAAUCACAAGACGCCACACAGAGGCAAUUACAGAGUCGGGGGAUUUGGGGGUCUGAACGGCUUCUGGGGUUCAAACAGCCACACGCCCUCAUUGUACGGCUAGAGAACGGAACUGAAACUGGCUUGUCCCCCGGUUCCUUCGAGUUAAAAGCUAAGCCUGGCUUUAAACGGGCAAGCCUCCAGCUUCAGAACUCUUUCCCCUAAGACCCUCUGCUUCUUCCCAGCUCUAAGGAAAGACAUACAGGGCAGAGACUCUCCAAGAAAGGGAGACGUAGCCCCAAGGGGCUGGUGGGCAGGGGAGGGGGGGGGCACCGGACAGCUCGUCCAGUGAAAAGAUGCUACAUGCAUGCAAAAUGCAGCAGCUCUGGGACCUCUGCUUUCCGGCAGCCUCCAAAAGCACCGGUCAUUGUGUUAAGAUGCCCCGAAUUAAGCUGAUUAAAAGGAAAGCCAUAAUGCUCGUCUGUCAGCCUGGACAGGUGGCACUCCACAGUGCUGGAGGUCGGGCAAACCUCCAACUCCGAUGAUGAUCGGCUCCCUCCCUGGCCCCUGCCCCCCAGCCCGGAGCCCUGACAGCAGUGUUUGUGAUCUCCAGCUCGUUACACGGGCCUCCGACUUCCUCUGCGUGCUGGCUCGGGCUCUGCGCCCUGCACCCUCCUCGGCCUCCAUGAAUGGGCUGACGGAACUCCUACCAUUAGCCCCCAGUGUAACUGCAUCACGCCAUUGUCACCACACACGCACUGCACUCAACAGGGGGACAAAGGGCUGAAUGAGCCCCAGACCCGCGGCCAACUCAGGCAGAGACAACUUAGGAAACUAUCUCAUUCUUCCUUUCUUCACAGGCUGUUUGGCUUAUUUCCUUGCAUACCAAAUGAAGCCCGCAGAAGAAAUAAGGCAGGAGAGGGAAGCAUGAGCCUCCAGUUCGAUUCCGUCCCCCUCCCCGCGCCCAGCUUCCCCUCCGGCCACUCUUCACAAGGUCCUUGACCACAGGCCCCGUCAGGUCCACAAAGGACAGCCCCAGCCGUACAGGGGCCCUCAGGAGAAGGUGUGCCGUGAGCGGGUCGGUGCCUCUCACUGAGGAGGACAGAGACACAGGGCUGGGGACCCGGACCAGAGCAUGUAGUCAAAAUCAAGACUUCCUCCCCUGCACAGCGAAUGGGUUUUCAACAGCUCACUGGCGACCAUGAUCCUAACAUGCCAGGAUGACCCUAACGCAGGGGUAUACUGAAUCUUCUCUGCGUGCUAUUUAAGUACGAGACAGAGUUUUAACGUAACCAAGGUAGAAAAGGAGGAAUAUAGGGACCAGGGAACUAGCGUCUGCCUCCGUCAAAUUAUCUCCCAAUAGCUUCACAGCAAGGUCACGGCCCGUGAGCCUGACUCCUGCGUUUUUAUCAGUUUGUAAAACUGUGUCACGUGAAGGUGAUGUGUUUUGCUCAGGACCUUGGUGUGUAAAUUAAGGCUUAUAGGGCUUUCCCAAAGACCUGGGGAGACCAAAGACUCAGAAACACACUCUAAGCCCAUAUGCCUGGCCUUUGUGUCCUCCGUUCCUUCCUUCCGGCUUCCCUCCCUCUCUUCAGCAUCAUUCCCAAGCCUCUGCCAGGGGCUCUGGAUAAAGAGCACAGUAAAAGUUGGGUCCUGUUCAAGAGGCUCUAUAGACAAGGAACGCUGAGAUAAAUGCUGGCACAAAGCACGAGCCGAGUGCCGAGGGGACGGAAGAGGAACCCCGAGUCUGCCCGGCGGAGCAGGGAAAGGUUCACCGGGGAACCAGGACGCUCAAGCCCUCCUCUCAAACUCACCCUUGGCAACGGAAGCCCCGGUAGAAGUUUCCCCAAAGCCAGCACCGCCUCGCUGGCUGGCGUCUGUUUUUAGCAACACUUAUGACUGGGAGGAAAAAGUACUUAAAAUAUACCACCCUCUGAGACUUUUAUUCCCUGUAAAACUGUCAGGCUUCUCACUCAGCUUUCUCUUUGGAAUGAAGCAUUUUGGUUUAUUUUGGCAACCAGACGGAGCAACAAAGACCGACUUUCUCAGAGCUGCCUGGGUCCCUCCGAUCAAAGCUAUCUGCCGCUGGCUAGUGAGCCGGAGAA